rnacentral:rRNA from 1 species
GAUAAACGCUGGCGGUGCACAUAAGACAUGCAAGUUGAACGGACUUAAUCGAAAUAUUUAUAUUUUGAAGCGGUUAGUGGCGGACUGGUGAGUAACGCGUAAGGAACCUGCCUAUUAGAGGGGAAUAACAGUGAGAAAUCAUUGCUAAUACCGCAUAUGCCAUAGAUAUCACAUGAUAACAGUGGGAAAGGAGCAAUCCGCUAAUAGAUGGCCUUGCGUCUGAUUAGAUAGUUGGUGGGGUAACGGCCUACCAAGUCGACGAUCAGUAGCCGGACUGAGAGGUUGAACGGCCACAUUGGGACUGAGAUACGGCCCAGACUCCUACGGGAGGCAGCAGUCGGGAAUAUUGCGCAAUGGAGGAAACUCUGACGCAGUGACGCCGCGUAUAGGAAGAAGGUUUUCGGAUUGUAAACUAUUGUCGUUAGGGAAGAGAAAGGACAGUACCUAAGGAGGAAGCUCCGGCUAACUACGUG